UGGUGCCUGAUGUAAUCAUCUCUGAUGCUUGCGAUUCUGGCUCAGCACAUGGGCACCAGAUGAGGCAGAGCAUACUGCAGGUGAUAAAAUAAUGGAUCAUUCAUGCAGAGAGAAAACAAAUAAAGAAAAGGAGACUAUUGAUAAAAGAAGUAACUGUGAGCAUCUUUAGUCCUGAUUUCACAGUUGAGGAAUAUACAGUUGCCUCCAGAUGAGAAGGUGAAGAUAGCCUUCAGUGGAAUAAAAAGAGUUGUUCUGCACCAGCAGGGGUGCAGGAUUCUUUCUGGAUCUCAGUAAGAAUGGCACAGCAGCAAAUGGAGUAA